rnacentral:rRNA from 1 species
GCUCCUACGGGGGGCAGCAGUAGGGAAUUUUCGGCAAUGGGGGGAACCCUGAUGGUGCGACGCCGCGUGGGGGAAUGAAGGUCUUCGGAUUGUAAACCCCUGUCAUGUGGGAGCAAAUUAAAAAGAUAGUACCACAAGAGGAAGAGACGGCUAACUCUGUGCCAGCAGCCGCGGUAAUACAGAGGUCUCAAGCGUUGUUCGGAAUCACUGGGCGUAAAGCGUGCGUAGGCUGUUUCGUAAGUCGUGUGUGAAAGGCGCGGGCUCAACCCGCGGACGGCACAUGCUACUGCGAGACUAGAGUAAUG